UGUGAUUAAGAUUUCAAUUUGAUUCAGCAAAUAUUUUUGCAUUUUCAAUUUGCUAGGCACUGGAAGUAGAGCAGCAAUGAAGACAGAUGUAGUCCUGGCAUUCCUCAAGCUUAUAGUCUAAUAGGAACGUCUACACUGAGAAAGAAAAAAAAGAAAAGAAGGAAGAAAAGAAGAAACCCUUCUCUGACACUUCAUAGACAAAAAACAAGAGGAGAUGAUUAUUUAAGUUCAUCAGAUAUUUUAAGGAAUAAAGGAAGUUGACGGGUGGAAAUCUGAAGGUGAAUUAA
rnacentral:lncRNA from 1 species